rnacentral:lncRNA from 1 species
CUAAAGGUUUAAUUCAUAUCCACAAAAGUUCAAGUCAUAUCCUAAAAUUUCUAUUUAUAACCUAAAAAUUCAACUCAUAUCCUAAAAGUUUCAAUUCAUAUCCUACAAGUUCAAUUCACAAGAACAAAACCUAAAAACUAAAAGUUAUAUUCAUAUCCUACGAGUUUAAACAUAAACUAAAAUUUCAAGUCAUAUCCUAAAGGUUCAAUACAUAUGCUAAAGAUUCAAUUUAUUUCCUAAAAGUUCAACUCAUAUUCUAAAAUUUCUAUUUAUAUCCUAAAAAUUCAACUCAUAUCCUAAAAGUUUCAAUUCAUAUCCUAAAAAUUCAAUUCACAAGAACAAAACCUAAAAACUAAAAGUUAUAUUCAUAUCCUAUGAGUUUAAACAUAAACUAAAAGUUCAAGUCAUAUCCUAAAGGUUCAAUACAUAUGCUAAAGGUUCAAUUUAUUUCCUAAAAGUUCAACUCAUAUCCUAAAAGUUUCAAUUCAUAUCCUAAAAAGUUCAA